GUAGCCCACAUAUCAGAUAUUAAACUGAUAAGAACAUAUACUACACUUGAUCUUAGCCAAAAGGCCGAGAAAGGUAUGCUUUGAAACGUUGCCCUGAGUCUCCUUUUAUUGCUUCCUCGACCGGCUAUGACACUUGUACAGGCGAGGUGGGACUAA
rnacentral:rRNA from 1 species